AGAGUUUGAUCAUGGCUCAGGAUGAACGCUAGCUACAGGCUUAACACAUGCAAGUCGAGGGGAAACGACAUCGAAAGCUUGCUUUUGAUGGGCGUCGACCGGCGCACGGGUGAGUAACGCGUAUCCAACCUGCCCAUCACUUGGGGAUAACCUUGCGAAAGUAAGACUAAUACCCAAUGAUAUCUCUAGAAGGCAUCUGAAAGAGAUUAAAGAUUUAUCGGUGAUGGAUGGGGAUGCGUCUGAUUAGCUUGUUGGCGGGGUAACGGCCACCAAGCAACGAUCAGGUAGGGUUCUGAGAGGAACGGUCCCCCANAUUGGAACUGAGACACGGUCCAAACUCCUACGGGAGCA
rnacentral:rRNA from 1 species